UACGUAGGGGCCUAGCGUUGUCCGGAUUUAUUGGGCGUAAAGAGCUCGUAGGCGGUUCGGUAAGUCAGGUGUGAAAUCUCCACGCUCAACGUGGAGGCGCCACCUGAAACUGCCGUGACUCGAGUCCGGUAGGGGAGUGUGGAAUUCCUGGUGUGAGCGGUGGAAAUGCGCAGAUAUACAGGAAGAACACCCGUGGCGAAAGCGGCUCUCUGGAACGGUACUGACGCUGAGGAGCGAAAGCUAGGGGAGCAAACGGG
rnacentral:rRNA from 1 species